UACGAACCGUACAAACGUUAUUCGGAAUCACUGGGCUUAAAGGGUGCGUAGGCGGCCAUGUAAGUGAGGUGUGAAAUCCCUCGGCUCAACCGAGGAACUGCGCUUCAUACUGCAUGGCUUGAGGGAGACAGGGGUAAGCGGAACUGAUGGUGGAGCGGUGAAAUGCGUUGAUAUUGGGAGGAACACCAGUGGCGAAGGCGGCUCACUGGACCGGUACGUGACGCUGAGGCGCGGAAAGCGUGGGGAGCAAACA
rnacentral:rRNA from 1 species